UGAGGAAUAUUGGACAAUGGGUUAGCGCCUGAUCCAGCCAUCCCGCGUGAAGGACGACGGCCCUAUGGGUUGUAAACUUCUUUUGUAUAGGGAUAAACCUACUCUCGUGAGAGUAGCUGAAGGUACUAUACGAAUAAGCACCGGCUAACUCCGUGCCAGCAGCCGCGGUAAUACGGAGGGUGCAAGCGUUAUCCGGAUUUAUUGGGUUUAAAGGGUCCGUAGGCGGACUCGUAAGUCAGUGGUGAAAUCUCAUAGCUUAACUAUGAAACUGCCAUUGAUACUGCGGGUCUUGAGUAAAGUAGAAGUGGCUGGAAUAAGUAGUGUAGCGGUGAAAUGCAUAGAUAUUACUUAGAACACCAAUUGCGAAGGCAGGUCACUAUGUUUUAACUGACGCUGAUGGACGAAAGCGUGGGGAGCGAACA
rnacentral:rRNA from 1 species